rnacentral:rRNA from 1 species
AGAGUUUGAUCAUGGCUCAGGAUGAACGCUGGCGGCGUGCUUAACACAUGCAAGUCGAACGAACCUUCGGGUUAGUGGCGGACGGGUGAGUAACGCGUGGGAAUCUGCCCUCAGGAGGGGGAUAACGACUGGAAACGGUCGCUAAUACCCCAUAUGCCGAGAGGUGAAAUGAAUUUCGCCUGAGGAUGAGCCCGCGUCUGAUUAGCUAGUUGGUGGGGUAAGGGCCUACCAAGGCGACGAUCAGUAGCUGGUCUGAGAGGAUGAUCAGCCACACUGGGACUGAGACACGGCCCAGACUCCUACGGGAGGCAGCAGUGGGGAAUUUUCCGCAAUGGGCAAAAGCCUGACGGAGCAACGCCGCGUGAGGGAUGAAGGCCUCUGGGCUGUAAACCUCUUUUCUCAAGGAAGAAGAUCUGACGGUACUUGAGGAAUAAGCCACGGCUAAUUCCGUGCCAGCAGCCGCGGUAAUACGGGAGUGGCAAGCGUUAUCCGGAAUCAUUGGGCGUAAAGCGUCCGCAGGUGGCUUUGUAAGUCUGCCGUUAAAGCGUGGAGCUUAACUCCAUUUCAGCGGUGGAAACUACAUGGCUUGAGUGUGGUAGGGGCAGAGGGAAUUCCCGGUGUAGCGGUGAAAUGCGUAGAUAUCGGGGAAGAACACCAGUGGCGAAGGCGCUCUGCUGGGCCAUAACUGACACUCAUGGACGAAAGCCAGGGGAGCGAAAGGGAUUAGAUACCCCUGUAGUCCUGGCCGUAAACGAUGAACACUAGGCGUCGGGGGAAUCGACCCCCUCGGUGUCGUAGCCAACGCGUUAAGUGUUCCGCCUGGGGAGUACGCACGCAAGUGUGAAACUCAAAGGAAUUGACGGGGGCCCGCACAAGCGGUGGAGUAUGUGGUUUAAUUCGAUGCAACGCGAAGAACCUUACCAGGGUUUGACAUCCUGCGAACCCCUGAGAAAUCGGGGGGUGCCUUCGGGAACGCAGUGACAGGUGGUGCAUGGCUGUCGUCAGCUCGUGUCGUGAGAUGUUGGGUUAAGUCCCGCAACGAGCGCAACCCACGUCUUUAGUUGCCAGCAUUCAGUUGGGCACUCUAGAGAGACCGCCGGUGAUAAACCGGAGGAAGGUGUGGAUGACGUCAAGUCAUCAUGCCCCUUACAUCCUGGGCUACACACGUACUACAAUGCUACGGACAAAGGGCAGCGAACUCGCGAGGGCAAGCAAAUCCCAUAAACCGUGGCUCAGUUCAGAUCGUAGGCUGCAACUCGCCUACGAGAAGGAGGAAUCGCUAGUAAUCGCAGGUCAGCAUACUGCGGUGAAUACGUUCCCGGGCCUUGUACACACCGCCCGUCACACCAUGGAAGUUAGCCACGCCCGAAGUCGUUACUCCAACCCUAGUGGAGGAGGAUGCCGAAGGUGGGGCUGAUGACUGGGGUGAAGUCGUAACAAGGUAACC